GCAAAACAUUCUUUGAAAGGCUAGAACUAAAGUUACUUGUGAAAGAAGAACCGUGGAGUUGUAUUUCUUUCUCGAUUCUCUCCCGGAACAUCCGUCCAUUCGUCUCGAAGGACAAUAGUUGUGCUGUUUGGACGACUGAUAUGGCGUCGAUUCAAAUACUCGUCGCGUUGGGCAUGCUGGCCCUAGCCUGCGGAUCGCCGCUCGAGCCAAAGGUCGAUACAGUGUGGCUGCUGAGCGUCAACUACACUAGCUAUGUGUAUUCACCGAUCAAGGACCGCCUGCUGGCGUUGCAUCCGGGUGGUCUUGCCGUGGAUGAGCUGGACCUAGCGACACAGACAGUGGCGAAGACCUACUCCUUGCCCAUUCCUGGUUACCGGAUUGGCGUUGGGGAUACGGGUCGUUACGUGUCCGUGGUUCACAACUCGUACAUCACGUUUAUUGAUGUUGUCACGGAAACAUUCCAGACGGAGAACUUCCCCUAUGCUGAUGUGCCGGUCAACGGACUAGUGGUGGAUUUGUCGGAGGAACACGAGACGUGCGGUUGGAUCCAUCUCUACCAGAGUGGCCAGUACAUAAGCGAGAUCAUCUGUGUGAACCCGGUUAACGGGAACGCCACCAAGUGUUAUGAUCAAGGUGAGAGUUGGGCAGUGCUGACUG